AUUGAACGCUGGCGGCAGGCCUAACACAUGCAAGUCGAACGAGUGGCGGACGGGUGAGUAAUGUCUGGGAAACUGCCUGAUGGAGGGGGCUAACUACUGGAAACGGUAGCUAAUACCGCCUACUAUUGAUCGACCGCUGUCGGAUUAGCUUGUUGGGGGGGUAACGGCUCACCAAGGCGACGAUCCGUAGCGGUUUGAGAGGAUGACCAGCCAAAUGGGACUGAGACACGGCCCAGACUCCUACGGGAGGCAGCAGUUGGGAAUUGUGGACAAUGGGGGAAACCCUGAUCCAGCCAUGCCGCGUGUGUGAUGAAGGCCUUCGGGUUGUAAAGCACUUUUGGCAGGAAAGCGGUACCUGCAGAAGAAGCACCGGCUAACUACGUGCCAGCAGCCCGGUAAUUC
rnacentral:rRNA from 1 species